GUGCUUGCUUUGGCAGCACAUAUAUACUAAAAUUGGAACACUACGGAGAAGAUUAGCAUGGCCCCUGUGCAAGGAUAACAUGCAAAUUCGUGACGUGUUCCACAUUUUU